GUGUGGGGGAAGGUGCUGGCUGCCAAGUGUGAAGACCUGAGCUCCAUCUCCAGGACCCACACGGAGGAAGGAGAGGACUGAAAGCAGGAAGCUUUCUUGUCAUCUCUGCUCACGCUGCCUCAGGACUAGCUAUAUGAUCCUGUGCAAGCUCCUUAAUCUUCUCCUGCCUCAGUUUCCCCACAACUGAAGUGAGGGGUUGGGUGGGGGAUAACAGCUCCUUUUGCUCGGAUGAAGUUGAGCAGAUGGGAUGAGAGUCGAGCUGAGCUGGACCCUGCUGCCUUAACUGACGAAAAUCUCGGUGCUUUACACCCACAGAGGUGCUAUCUGUCCUUGUGGGCUGACAGUAGGCUCCACAGUGAGAGAGAGAGAGACUCCAUCGCCUGUGAUGGUCGUUUUUGUGGGGGAAAGGGGAAACUGAGGCAUCAUGCAAGAGCUCUUAAUGACUUUUUGUCCCGAAUUUCACUUCUGCUCGUCUGCGCAUUGGCUAGGGUGAAGCAAUCCCACCUUCCUCCUGGAGGCAAGAGAACCGGGAUUCUGGCAAUCCUUCUGACAACCAAGUGAAUCUGAAUUCAAAGCAAGCCCAGAGACUGGAAACUUAACAUUCCAAGAGCAAGCAAGAUUGCCCCCUAGUGUCCAAUGUAGAUAACAGCAUCCUAAACAGCUCACUGAAGAAUGAAGGAGACAAUCGGAUAUUUUGUAUAAAAAUGUCAAAAUGGGGCCCAGCAUGGUGCUACACACUUUCAGCCCUUGGGAAGUACAAGCUGGAAGACCUCAGUGAGUUCGAGGCCAGAUUUAUCUACACAGCAAGCUCUAGGAUAACCAGGACUAAAGAGAUCCUGUCUCAAAAAAAAAAAAAUUAAAUUAAAUUAUAAUUAAAAAAAAGAGUGGCAAAAUGGAUUUGUAACAGAUUCCUUCGCCCACAAUCCGUUUAAAGACAAUAUUUAUGUAAUAAGCACACCGAGGGCUACCUAAGGAAGAGUAAGCUCUCCUGUCUCUUAUUUUCUCCAACCUAGUGGAAGGAAGCAUAGGUAUUAGAGAAAUCCCUUCAGUGUCUGGAACACAUCAGGCUGUAAGUGUAUACUCGCUGCAACUGAGCAUCAGGACCAGAAACAAGUGAGACCACCUGGCAGUGAGUUCUUCUCUCCCUUAGUUAAA
rnacentral:lncRNA from 1 species